CCAUUCUUUUAAAACAGAGUACAUCAAUUGAUGAACAAGUGCUGUUUACAGUAACAACCCUCAGCAGGGGCAUUCAUCAAUACAGACAUGCGUACAACUGCUUUGCUGUUGCUUUGGGUGUUGAUAGCUACUAUGGCAGCUCAAGUCGAUGGAUGGUGGUUGUGUGGAUGUAGAAGACGCCAGUCUAGACGCAAGAGAGAACGUACCUGCAAAUCUCUAUGUGCCUCUAGGAUUGGAAAGAGAAGUGUUGAGGAGUUGAUGAUCCCAGGCCAAACUAAUGACUUCAGCAAACAGUGGCAAAACUUGGUUUCUUCCNUAUCAAAAUCCAGGCCAAAACGAGCGUUGAAGAGGCUCAAAUUCCCAGCUGACUGCAAUUCCAGCAAACUCCAAAACUUUGCCAGAAAAUGUAAUUUGUGUGUUGCAGCNGGUGGGAGUCACAUCAAGGUUUGCUCUGGCAGCAGACAAGUNACGACUAUCCCACAUCACGUCAAGUCCAAUGGUACUUGCAGGAGUAUCAUCAACGUAUUGAACAAUCUCUGCCUCUAACAACAUCUUGUAAAUCCACUUCAAAAUAGUUUGAUGAAAUUACGAUAUUGUUUAAAUGAAGUCAGUGACGUAAUGAAUUGUUUAGAGUUCUCUAUAUUAGGAGUUCGGUUGUAUGGAUGAUUUAUCAAAUUCAUUAACAAUUUAUAAGGUAAAUACAAUGCAAAAUCAUUGCCUUGA
rnacentral:lncRNA from 1 species